UUGCCUAGAAAAACUCAGUCU
rnacentral:piRNA from 1 species